rnacentral:lncRNA from 1 species
UUAGUUUCAAUGGCUUGAUGUGAUUACUCAGGAGGCCAAGUCAAACAUCAAGAAAUCCUACAGGUUUCACAGUAAGUUAAAAAUAAGAGACAUCUGCUAAAAUUAAAAAAGUUUAGGUAGGAGUAGAUAAUAUGCUUUCCACAAUGAAAAUCUAUUUAACCUACAUACAUAUCUGUUAUUAAUUUAAUACUUGAGAUAAAUAUUUUUUAUUUUCAUUUGUCUUAUACAUCUUGGGUCCCCAGGGUGUGAAUAGUAACUGAAACAUGCUUCUGUCAGUAGAAAGCCACAGUGUGUAAAGGACACAAAGGUAAGGCUCUGCAAACUUAGUUACAAAAUCUAGUAUCACAAAGUUAUAUUUAGGGAAACUUUCUUCAUAGAGCUAAUGUCUAGCUUAAUGCCAAGAUCUGCAAAACACGUUUAGUCUCAAGUCCCUUUAAGAAACAAGGUUAUAUGAGCAUUAGCUAAAAUGAAUCACACUCCUAAGUAUUCUGUACGUAAUCAUAAUGUUGUCUAAUAAUUAGCAAGAACAUUUAAAACAAAACAUUCAGGAAACAUAAAGAUGUCAGGAUCAUGCUCAAAUACAUAUGAAAUAAAAUAUAGGAUCCAGUCCUGAGGUCUUUAUGGCCUUUUUUUAAAAAUGCAAAAAUCUCAGUGAAGUUUCUUCUGUUAUGUCAGAAAAGGGCACUAUCAAAAAUCAAACUUCAUCCAUGCUUGUUUAUCACCAAUUUUUUUAUUUACCUUUUUUUUUUUUUUAAGUGGAGAAAUAUAUCAUAUAUUUUCCUUCCGGUUCUUGUGUACUGUAAUAAUAUUAUUUAGAAGUAUUCUAGUUCCUUCAUCUUUCUCAAAGUAAUUCGUAAAGAUAAUGCUUUAAAACAUUGCUCCUCAGCUAGUUCAUCUAAUUCUUUUCAUAUAUAGAACUAGCAAAACAAGAUUUUUCAUAACUACAUACAUCUACAAAAUAUGUUAGAACAUAUUUCCAAUAGUUUCAAUGUCACAUCAGUUGAUGAUGUGUUUCAGGUUUCAGCAUAUUUUAAUUUUCACUGUUUUAUGUUCACUCAUUUAACAGAGGAAAGAGGCAAGAAUGUGCUGUCAGAACAUAUUAAUGUACUUCAUAAAGAUAUUAAGAUGAUGAAAAAGAUUAAGAUGGUGCCAGAAAGACUCUGCCACCAUCUGCAAAGCUACAAUAUUUACCAAGGGUAGUAGAGCAGUGCCUGCUUGUAGAGGUUGAAGCCACAGCAGUUUUGAAAGACGACGCUCAUCAAAACCAGGAGUGUUUUGAUAAAUAUUUAUUCUUAAGAGCUCGGUGGGGUUGCCUCUGGAGUUGUACUUCAUGGUACGUAAUGUUUAUGUCCUUUGGCUUAAGUUCUCUAAUAAGCUCUGGAGAGAGGUAAGUGUGUUGUUCACCCCCCACACCCUCCGCCCGUAACCUCUGUCCCUAACCGCCCCCCCCCCCCCCCCGCCAAAAAAAAAAAAAAGUCUCCUUAGACCCUCUAGAUCCAAUAAGGUUGGCGUGCAUAAGAAGGGAGGCUGGCAGUUUCCUUGAGCUGACCAUUAUUUCCUUAGGCAACUUCUCUUCUCUUAAACCUCACCUCAGAAGAUUGUGAAAAGUAGGUAUGAAUUGCCUGUAUUUCUUUAGGGAAGUGACUAGUGGGUCUCAGUGACUUUGAUGGUGUCAGCAAUGUCCAGUAGGCAGCUGACCACUAGAAAUCUCACUGAGCACAAGUGGUAUUUGCACUGUCUUUCUCCCACUGCCUUAAAAAGCAAAUUCUCUCCACAUCAAAAGUGUCUCUAUUGAGCAAUUGCUGUGUGUCAGCACUCUUCAGCCUUAAGUUGUUUGCUGGUUUCUGGAACAUGAAAAACACAAGAUGUCACAAAAUGAAAACAGUGUCUGUUUCCAUUCUGAUGAUUUAGGAAGCAAAGCAGGAAAAUAAAGCAAAUAUGUUCAAAAAAAAAAAAAAAAAA